rnacentral:rRNA from 1 species
CAACUUGAGAGUUUGAUCCUGGCUCAGAACGAACGCUGGCGGCAGGCUUAACACAUGCAAGUCGAACGCGAGUAGCAAUACUCGAGUGGCGCACGGGUGCGUAACGCGUGGGAACCUUCCUCGUAGUUCGGAAUAACUCAGGGAAACUUGAGCUAAUACCGAAUGCCUCCUUCGGGAGAAAGAUUUAUCGCUACGAGAUGGGCCCGCGUCAGAUUAGGUAGUUGGUAGGGUAACGGCCUACCAAGCCGACGAUCUGUAGCUGGUCUGA